rnacentral:rRNA from 1 species
AGAGUUUGAUCCUGGCUCAGGACGAACGCUGGCGGCGUGCCUAAUACAUGCAAGUCGAACGGUCUUUUCUAUGGAAGCUUGCUUCCACUGAGAAGAUAGUGGCGAACGGGUGAGUAACACGUGGGUAACCUGCCCAUAAGAGGGGGAUAACAUCCGGAAACGGGUGCUAAUACCGCAUAGUUUUCUUGAUCGCAUGAUCGAGAAAGGAAAGACGGCCUUUGUGCUGUCGCUUAUGGAUGGACCCGCGGCGUAUUAGUUAGUUGGUGAGGUAAUGGCUCACCAAGACGAUGAUACGUAGCCGACCUGAGAGGGUGAUCGGCCACAUUGGGACUGYGACACGGCCCAAACUCCUACGGGAGGCAGCAGUAGGGAAUCUUCCGCAAUGGACGAAAGUCUGACGGAGCAACGCCGCGUGAGUGAAGAAGGUUUUCGGAUCGUAAAACUCUGUUGSCAGAGAAGAACMAGUCGGAGAGUAACUGCUCCCGGCCUUGACGGUAUCUGAACAGAAAGCCACGGCUAACUACGUGCCAGCAGCCGCGGUAAUACGUAAGUGGCAAGCGUGUCCGGAUUUAUUGGGCGUAAAGCGAASCGCAGSGGUUCCUUAAGUCUGAUGUGAAAGGCCCACGGCUCAACCGUGGAAGGUCAUUGGAACUGGGSAACUUGARUGCAGAAGAGAGAGUGGAAUUCCAUGKGUAGCGGUGAAUGSUAGAWAUAUGGAGGACACAGUGKMGGAGSGACUCUCUGGUCUGUA